rfam:Schistosoma rodhaini strain Burundi genome assembly, scaffold: SROB_scaffold0003093
AUCCAGCUGAUGAGUCCCAAAUAGAACGAAACACAAGUUCUAUAU